CACUCCGGUGGCCUAGUGGAUAGAUCAUCCGCCUCGGAUGCUGGAGAUGGUGGGUUCGAUCCCCAGUCGAGUAA